rnacentral:misc_RNA from 1 species
UUAAGUUCAGCGGGUAGUCCUACCUGAUUUGAGGUCAAGAUCAUCAAUACAAGUAAGGUUUAGAAAGCAGCAUUCCAGCAGAUGUCUAGGAUGUAGAUAAUUAUCACACCUGUAGACAGUCCCACCAAGGUAACUGCUAAUUAAUUUCAGGGGAGCAGACUACAAAAAGCCCACAACAACCCAAAUCCAAGCCACACUAA